rnacentral:lncRNA from 1 species
AGGCCAUAAAGGAUCUGGAAAGACACCGUGGAUAGCCAGGGCCGAAGCAGGCUCCUCUUGAUCUGUUGCUUCAAAGACUUAACAACUUGGACAGUGUGAGUGCUAUCGGCCUGCAACCUCAUCUCUACAAAAGGGCCUAGUGGACUGCAGAAGAGCCCAAGGGAGACACCGGCACAGAUAGGUGCUGCCUACCCACUACUCUGGAUUGAGGGCUGAAGAUCUUCUCUGGAGUUGAGACCCUUCCCCUGUUUCUUGACUUCGGGUUCAACAAUCAUUACCAUACCUCCUAGCCAGCAACAGCCGUCCCUGGAUGGUCAUUUCAAAGACCCUACUGCACAUAAAGUAGUUUCUCAGGAGGACGAAUUUUGAUAAGCCAAUACAGGACUCACAUGGAUAUGUGGUCUCUCUCUUCAGCAUGGCCAUAGCCUCCAUCUGUAGGAUCUGCCAUGGACUCAAGGACAAGGUGGUGGAAGGGGAUCCCGGGACCCUGGUGCCUGCAUCUGAAAAACCAGAGGCAAACAUAUGUAAAUGUGCGGGCACUGCACAGUGCCAAUCUUCCAGCCAACACCACCUCACAGAUGAACUAAAAUAAUUGCUUGGACUCGGUUUUUGAAACUUAACAUCGAGCCCAUACACAAAUAUUAGCCUAGUCAGUCCCCUCCCCCUCCCCAGCCACCACAGGUUUACUUAUAUAAACAAAUCAUGUUCCCCAAGAAGGAGGCUGGAGCUGACACAGGCCAUUGUUGGGUAGGCAAUUACCGUAAUGAGGGAAAGCUAAGUGAAUGGAAGGCUGCUCCAGCUGCUUUGUUGAUAGAGGGUAAUAAGGGUGCUGCCUGAGCACAGAGUUAAUUUGCACUUUUCUCCACAAGCCUGGUGCUGCCCAAGCCACAACUACCCUUAGAACUGAAGCCCAGCUAAUUACUCAUGUUAAUUACCCAGCCCCAGGUCAGAUCCUGUGGCUGGUUAAAGACAGUGAAAGGCUAGGCGGCCACGAUUCUUGCUUAGAGCCGUGCAGAGGCUAUGGCUGGAUGUGUAAAUCUCUCUGAUUGGUGCACACCCUCCUUUAAGAGGCAUUAACUCUGCAGGGGACUAAGUUUCCUGAGAGCACCAUACCCUGCUCCCUCCUCGGGUCUCUUGAGAUCCCUCGGGAUUUUCUCCACGAGUUCUAUUUUCUCUGUAUAGAACACGCUAAUGGGGAAAAUGUUCACAAACAUAACUAAACAAAUUAGAUUAAUAAUUAACAAGCUGGGUGUGUUGGUGUCCAUCUGUAAUCCUAGCACUCAGGAAGCAGGAACAGGAAGAUUUGAGUUCACUGCUAGCCUAUCUCCAAAAAGAAGAAAAAACCCAAAGCCAAAUGGUUCCACCCUGUAUGAUGUUUCCAUUUACAUAAUAUUCUGGAAAAGGCAAAACCAUAGGGAACUGUGCCGACCAGAGGUUGCCAAAGGUGGGGGUGGUAGUGAGAGCUGACCACAAAGGGGGAUCAUGAGGGAAUUUGGGGGGACAAUGGGCUCCUCUGGAUAUGAUCAUGGGAUAUGUAUAUCAUGUGAUAUACAUUCAGCAAUGUUAUACACGUGUCAAAACCUGUAGAGAUGUCCUCUGCAAAGAGUGAAUUUUGUUGUUUUACUGUAUAAAGUUACAGAGAAAAAUGUAAGAAGAUAUGGUAAGAUUUGCUCUCAGUUUUUACGACGGCAAUUCGAAAGUUUGUCAUUGCUGCUAGAUGCUGCUAAGAUAUCUUUUUCCAACAAAGAAAAUCUUUGAAAUUCUAGCCCAUGAAACCAAAUGUG